AAUAUUGCGCAAUGGGGGGAACCCUGACGCAGCAACGCCGCGUGAGUGAAGAAGGCCUUCGGGUCGUAAAGCUCUGUCAUUGGGGAAGAAGUCUUAUAUGUGAAUAGCGUAUAAGAUGACGGUACCCAAGGAGGAAGCCACGGCUAACUACGUGCCAGCAGCCGCGGUAAUACGUAGGUGGCGAGCGUUGUCCGGAAUUACUGGGCGUAAAGGGCGUGUAGGUGGUCAAACAAGUCAGGUGUGAAACCCUGGGGCUCAACCCCAGGCAUGCAUUUGAAACUGUAUGACUUGAGGGCAAGAGAGGAAAGUGGAAUUCCUAGUGUAGCGGUGAAAUGCGUAGAUAUUAGGAGGAACACCAGUGGCGAAGGCGACUUUCUGGAUUGACCCUGACACUGAGGCGCGAAAGCGUGGGGAGCAAAC
rnacentral:rRNA from 1 species